rnacentral:rRNA from 1 species
GACGAACCGUCCUAACGUUGUUCGGAAUCACUGGGCUUAAAGGGCGCGUAGGCGGUCGGCAAAGUCAGGGGUGAAAUCUUUCGGCUUAACCGGAAAAGUGCCUUUGAAACUAGUCGACUCGAGCGAGAUAGGGGCAUGUGGAACUUCCGGUGGAGCGGUGAAAUGCGUUGAUAUCGGAAGGAACGCCGGUGGCGAAGGCGGCUCACUGGCCCGGUACUGACGCUGAGGUGCGAAAGCGUGGGGAGCAAACAGG